rnacentral:misc_RNA from 1 species
AUCGUAAUUCAAACACUGUUACACCUUAGAAACAAGAAGACAAAAAUGUUAGAGACGAAGCCUGAGCAAGCAAGCAUAUUUUCAUGGUUUCUUCAAACCUUGACCGUGUUCAGCAUCUGAUAUCAUCAUUGUUGGCUGUCUUCCUUAGGGCUUCAGAGUAAUAAUGGGGAUCAAGCGCACAAGGAUUGGUCUUCAAAAUGAAAAUGGGGACAAACUUCCAGUCCCGCCAGGUUUUGCAUCUCUGACAUCCUUUAAGUUGAGGAAAGUAGAAAGUAGUGAACCCACCGCUAAUUCCAUGGCCUCUGCAAGUGCAUCUAAAGGAAAUGCAAUCCAGAUGGAUAAUGCAAUUGAUGUUAAAUCAUUGAGAAGAUCUUUCUGUUACAGACCAUGGAUACUUGACAACCAGAACAAUCACAACCAAGAGGAAUCUGAUCCUGAACAAGUUGUCAUGGAUCACCCUUCAAGAAGAUGCCUUCCAAAAGGGGUUGCCCGUGGAUGCCCACAUUGUAGUAAUUGUCUGAAGGUAAUUGCUAGGUGGCGUCCUGAACAUGCAAUAAAGGAUGUCCUUGAAGAGGCUCCUGUUUUUCAUCCAACUGAAGAGGAAUUUAAAGACACAUUGAAGUAUAUUGCAAGCAUACGUCCCAGAGUGGAGGCAUAUGGAAUUUGUCGUAUUGUUCCUCCUCCUUCAUGGCACCCCCCUUGCCUUAUCAAGGAAAAGAACAUUUGGGGAAAAUCUACUUUUGUUGCACAAAUUCAACGGAUAGAUGGACUUCAAAAUCAAUAUGGACAGGGCCAAAUGGCUAGAACUUGUGAAAAUGGAAGCUGCAAGAGCAGCUUCAAGAUGGAUUUGGAUGAUCCUGAUGGUGUUGGAAGCUCUGACAUUGAAGGUUCUGAAUCUGAAACUGGUCCAGAAUUUACUCUUGAAACUUUCAAGAAAUAUGCUGACAAUUUCAAGAGUCAAUACUUUUGUGCUAGAAGCAAGGUUGUGGUUUCAGAAGUGGAUCCCACUCUGCAUCAAGAGAGCUGGGAGCCAUCAUUGGAUGAUAUUGAGGGUGAGUAUAGACGAAUUAUUGAUAAUCCUACUGAAGAAAUUGAGGUACUUUAUGGAGGAGACCUGGACAGUGGAGUUUUUGGCAGUGGAUUUCCUACCAAAUCCAUUUUCACAAAAAUAUCUGAUUGUGAUGAAUACUUGAACUCAGGCUGGAACUUAAAUAAUACACCAAGGCUUCCCGGUUCUCUUCUUUCAUCUGAAAGCUUUAACACUUCUGGUCUUCUUGUGCCUCAAAUAAGAAUAGGAAUGUGCUUCUCAAAAUUUUGUUGGGUAAGAUUCAAAGAUUUUUCAUUGCCUGCUGAUUUCUCAUUAUUUUGCCGCACAUUUGUGUGGAACCAAAAGUAGUUUUGUUCUACAAUGAAUUACCAGGGUUGUCUGUGCUAAUGCAGACUGCGAGCUCCACUUCUUCCCCUCCCCUCCCCCCCCACAACAAAACCCUUUUUUUCUCUUUCUCUAUUAUGGUUUUUUUAUUUGUUAAGUUGAUUUUUGAAAGACAGAAAGUUGAAGAGCACCACUUGUACUCACUCUGUUACAUGCAUCUGGGUGCCCCUAAAAUAUGGUAUGGCAUCCCAGGGAGGCAUAAUGUUAAGUUUAAGGCUCUUCUGAAGAAACAGCUUCCAGAUAUGUUAGCGGAACAACCUAAAUUGCGGGACAGGCUGGUGAGUUAUGGUAACCUUCUACAUUUUGAUUGCUUCAUACAGGAGAAAUGAGUUCUCUUUUUAAAAGACUGCAGCAUGUAACGACUGGUUUAAUCCUUAUGCAAUAAGCUAUAUGCUCUGCAUCCUAAUUUUUAGCUGCUUGUAAUUUCACCAUGUUUUAACUUCUAAUUUCCUGUGUCAUUUCAUCUACUAUGAUGAAAUUUAUUCUUAUGUUUGCUUUUCUAAUUUUUAGCUGCAUUUCUGUGGCUUUUUCGGCAUGUGUAGAUCUUCCAGAGGAAAUAAAUUUUAUCUAUUUCUGAUACAGGCCGAUAAACUAUACCCAUCUACAUUGAAGUCUGAGGAUAUACCUGUUUAUCGUUGCAUUCAGUAUCCUGGGGAGUUUGUUCUUGUCCUUCCAGGAGCAUAUUAUUCUGGAUUUGAUUGUGGGUUUAAUUGUGUUGAAGCAGUAAAUGUUGCUCCACUUGAGUGGUUGCCAUAUGGGCAGAAUGUUGUAGAACUCUACUGUCAACAGGGGAGAAAGACAUCCAUUUCCCAUGAUAAGUUAUUGUUGGGUGCAGUUAGGGAAGCUGUUAGGGCACAGUGGGAAAUUUCACUGUUGAAGAAGAAUACUACAGAUAAUCUAAGAUGGAAAGAUGCAUGUGGAAACGAUGGUAUCCUAGCAAAAGCGCUCAAGUCACGAAUCAAGCUGGAAGGCAAUAGAAGGAAUUACCUUUGCACCUCUUUGCAAUCACAGAGGAUGGACAAAAAUUUUGAUGCAACAAGCAAAAGAGAAUGCAGUAUAUGUUUCUAUGAUUUGCACCUUUCUGCAGUGCGGUGCCAAUGUUCUGCAGACAGAUACUCAUGUCUUAAUCAUUCGAAGCAGCUAUGUUCCUGUGCUUGGAGUGAAAAGAUCUUUCUAUUCCGUUAUGAAAUCAGCGAGUUAAAUACUCUUGUUGAAGCCUUGGAAGGAAAACUAGUUGCAGUCUACAAAUGUGCUAGAGAGAUUUUUAAAAUAUCACUGUACUGCACCAUCUCUGAAGAUAGUUCGCAAGCAACGAGGGGCAUUGGUGGUCUAGAUUCUCACAUAAAAGAAUCACGAGAGAGAGAGCCCAAGUCCCAACAACAUACGGCAACAUCCAGGAGUACUGUUUCAAGCAUCAGGGAAGAACUAAAGACGCGCCUGCUCCAAUCAAGAUCCUUGAAUGUACAAAAGCCGAAGCAGAACACAACAGCAUCUGCAUUUGUUACAAGUGCUGCUGCGAAUGAUUCAUUUUUAACAUCGACAUCUGGAAGUACAAGUGUCUCAAGUUCCUCAGAGUCAGGGACAUUCAGUAAUUGCAAAUAGCUUGACAAAAAUGAUAGUUUUUUUUUUUUUUUUUUUCCAAGUUUUUAUAAUUUUAUACCUAUAUACCGGCUAAAAAAAUUUAUAUUUUCUUCAUUUGUUGGUUUUUUUUUUAAUUAGUUAGUAAAUUAAAGUUGGGUUGGGGGGUAUUUAAUCCGUUCUUUGAUUUUGUUGAUUUUUAUUGUGGGUGUAUGGAGAUUUAGUUGUCUGAUUUAUAAAUCUAGGGUUUUGAUGGAGGGGAAAUAUUGUGGGGAUUGAUAAAUUGA